AGUUGAUCCUGGCUCAGGAUGAACGCUGGCGGUGUGCCUUAGGCAUGCAAGUCGAACGAGAUUCACUCUUCGGAGUGAUGACAGUGGCAGACGGGUGAGUAACACGUAGGAAUCUACCCAAGAGUGGGGGAUAGCCUUCCGAAAGGAGGGGUAAUACCGCAUAUGGUCGCAAGAUCAAAGACUUCGGUCGCUAUUGGAGGAGCCUGCGCGCUAUCAGCUUGUUGGUGAGGUAAAGGCUCACCAAGGCAAUGACGGCUAGCCGAUGUGAGAGCAUGAUCGGCCACAAGGUUACUGAGACACGGAGCCUACACCUACGGGUGGCAGCAACCGGGAAUAUUGCGCAAUGGGCGAAAGCCUGACGCAGCGACACCGCGUGUGGGAUGACGCUCUUCGGAGUGUAAACCACUGUGGCAGGGGAUGAAUUUUUGACAGUACCCUGCUAGAAAGCACCUGCUAACCACGUGCCAGAAGCCUCGGUAAUACGUGGGGUGCAAGCGUUAUCCGGAUUUACUGGGCGUAAAGCGUACCGUCGGUGGCUUUUUAAGUUUCUUGUUUAAUCCCAGGGCUCAACUCUGGAGCAGCAAGAAAAACUGAAUAGCUUGAGUUUGUUUGGGGCAGCUGGAAUUCUCAAUGGAGGGGUGAAAUCCGU
rnacentral:rRNA from 1 species